AGCGAACGCUGGCGGCAGGCCUAACACAUGCAAGUCGAACGAACCUUUCGGGGUUAGUGGCGGACGGGUGAGUAACACGUGGGAACGUGCCUUUAGGUUCGGAAUAACUCAGGGAAACUUGUGCUAAUACCGAAUGUGCCCUUCGGGGGAAAGAUUUAUCGCCUUUAGAGCGGCCCGCGUCUGAUUAGCUAGUUGGUUGAGGUAAUGGCUCACCAAGGCGACGAUCAGUAGCUGGUCUGAGAGGAUGAUCAGCCACAUUGGGACUGAGACACGGCCCAAAAUCCUACGGGAGGCAGCAGUGGGGAAUCUUGCGCAAUGGGCGAAAGCCUGACGCAGCCAUGCCGGGUGAAUGAUGAAGGUCUUAGGAUUGUAAAAUUCUUUCACCGGGGACGAUAAUGACGGUACCCGGAGAAGAAGCCCCGGCUAACUUCGUG
rnacentral:rRNA from 1 species